CCAAAACAUAGUUAUAGGAAGAAAUGAAAUUUUUGGUGCUCUAGCCUUACCCUUCUAGCCUCAGAAUUUUCUCUGAUGUGUAGGAGCAGUGGGACACGGUGCUACAUAUGGAUUUGCCAUGGCUAAAGAAAUAAUCCUGGCUAAACAAAAAGUGUCAGCUUCAAUCAAAACAUCGGACAGCAAUACACUGCAAAAAAAUACAAGAAGAAGUGGAGGAGUUGAGAAAUUAGAAGUGGAUCCUAGUAAAUAUUCAUUCCCUGAUGUGACAAAGAUAAUCCAAGAAAAGGAACGAAUUGGACAGGGACCUAUUAGGUUACAACCAGGAAAGAUUACAGAGACUAAGAAGAGUUAUGCUAAUGUUGAAAAUAGUGARGAUGUUCCACCCUUAAUUUGAAAUGUUCUCAAUACUCCCUUUGUAUGUGGCCUGUAUGCCUGAGUUGUUUUCAUGACUCUGUAUGUAAUGUAAGUAUAAUGUAUGCUGAGGUUGGAGAAUAUUGCUACAGUUCUUAUCAUAAACUUUGUUAAACUUGUGUUUUAUGCUGCUUUUUCUGUUAGUAUAUUGCUUCUAUAAAUUCUUUUUUCCAGACUGUUCACUUAGUAAGUCUCAAAUCAGAAUGGGGCUAUAUAAGUCAGAUAUUGUCAUUGCUCCACAAAAUUUACUGUCUAGCUUAAAACAUGACAUAUUACUGUAGAAAAAGAGAAAAGG
rnacentral:lncRNA from 1 species